rnacentral:rRNA from 1 species
GGUUAAGCGACUAAGCGUACACGGUGGAUGCCCUGGCAGUCAGAGGCGAUGAAGGACGUGCUAAUCUGCGAUAAGCGUCGGUAAGGUGAUAUGAACCGUUAUAACCGGCGAUUUCCGAAUGGGGAAACCCAGUGUGUUUCGACACACUAUCAUUAACUGAAUCCAUAGGUUAAUGAGGCGAACCGGGGGAACUGAAACAUCUAAGUACCCCGAGGAAAAGAAAUCAACCGAGAUUCCCCCAGUAGCGGCGAGCGAACGGGGAGCAGCCCAGAGCCUGAAUCAGUGUGUGUGUUAGUGGAAGCGUCUGGAAAGGCGCGCGAUACAGGGUGACAGCCCCGUACACAAAAAUGCACAUGCUGUGAGCUCGAUGAGUAGGGCGGGACACGUGGUAUCCUGUCUGAAUAUGGGGGGACCAUCCUCCAAGGCUAAAUACUCCUGACUGACCGAUAGUGAACCAGUACCGUGAGGGAAAGGCGAAAAGAACCCCGGCGAGGGGAGUGAAAAAGAACCUGAAACCGUGUACGUACAAGCAGUGGGAGCACGCUUCGGCGUGUGACUGCGUACCUUUUGUAUAAUGGGUCAGCGACUUAUAUUCUGUAGCAAGGUUAACCGAAUAGGGGAGCCGAAGGGAAACCGAGUCUUAACUGGGCGUUAAGUUGCAGGGUAUAGACCCGAAACCCGGUGAUCUAGCCAUGGGCAGGUUGAAGGUUGGGUAACACUAACUGGAGGACCGAACCGACUAAUGUUGAAAAAUUAGCGGAUGACUUGUGGCUGGGGGUGAAAGGCCAAUCAAACCGGGAGAUAGCUGGUUCUCCCCGAAAGCUAUUUAGGUAGCGCCUCGUGAAUUCAUCUCCGGGGGUAGAGCACUGUUUCGGCAAGGGGGUCAUCCCGACUUACCAACCCGAUGCAAACUGCGAAUACCGGAGAAUGUUAUCACGGGAGACACACGGCGGGUGCUAACGUCCGUCGUGAAGAGGGAAACAACCCAGACCGCCAGCUAAGGUCCCAAAGUCAUGGUUAAGUGGGAAACGAUGUGGGAAGGCCCAGACAGCCAGGAUGUUGGCUUAGAAGCAGCCAUCAUUUAAAGAAAGCGUAAUAGCUCACUGGUCGAGUCGGCCUGCGCGGAAGAUGUAACGGGGCUAAACCAUGCACCGAAGCUGCGGCAGCGACGCUUAUGCGUUGUUGGGUAGGGGAGCGUUCUGUAAGCCUGUGAAGGUGUGCUGUGAGGCAUGCUGGAGGUAUCAGAAGUGCGAAUGCUGACAUAAGUAACGAUAAAGCGGGUGAAAAGCCCGCUCGCCGGAAGACCAAGGGUUCCUGUCCAACGUUAAUCGGGGCAGGGUGAGUCGACCCCUAAGGCGAGGCCGAAAGGCGUAGUCGAUGGGAAACAGGUUAAUAUUCCUGUACUUGGUGUUACUGCGAAGGGGGGACGGAGAAGGCUAUGUUGGCCGGGCGACGGUUGUCCCGGUUUAAGCGUGUAGGCUGGUUUUCCAGGCAAAUCCGGAAAAUCAAGGCUGAGGCGUGAUGACGAGGCACUACGGUGCUGAAGCAACAAAUGCCCUGCUUCCAGGAAAAGCCUCUAAGCAUCAGGUAACAUCAAAUCGUACCCCAAACCGACACAGGUGGUCAGGUAGAGAAUACCAAGGCGCUUGAGAGAACUCGGGUGAAGGAACUAGGCAAAAUGGUGCCGUAACUUCGGGAGAAGGCACGCUGAUAUGUAGGUGAAGUCCCUCGCGGAUGGAGCUGAAAUCAGUCGAAGAUACCAGCUGGCUGCAACUGUUUAUUAAAAACACAGCACUGUGCAAACACGAAAGUGGACGUAUACGGUGUGACGCCUGCCCGGUGCCGGAAGGUUAAUUGAUGGGGUCAGCGCAAGCGAAGCUCUUGAUCGAAGCCCCGGUAAACGGCGGCCGUAACUAUAACGGUCCUAAGGUAGCGAAAUUCCUUGUCGGGUAAGUUCCGACCUGCACGAAUGGCGUAAUGAUGGCCAGGCUGUCUCCACCCGAGACUCAGUGAAAUUGAACUCGCUGUGAAGAUGCAGUGUACCCGCGGCAAGACGGAAAGACCCCGUGAACCUUUACUAUAGCUUGACACUGAACAUUGAGCCUUGAUGUGUAGGAUAGGUGGGAGGCUUUGAAGUGUGGACGCCAGUCUGCAUGGAGCCGACCUUGAAAUACCACCCUUUAAUGUUUGAUGUUCUAACGUUGACCCGUAAUCCGGGUUGCGGACAGUGUCUGGUGGGUAGUUUGACUGGGGCGGUCUCCUCCUAAAGAGUAACGGAGGAGCACGAAGGUUGGCUAAUCCUGGUCGGACAUCAGGAGGUUAGUGCAAUGGCAUAAGCCAGCUUGACUGCGAGCGUGACGGCGCGAGCAGGUGCGAAAGCAGGUCAUAGUGAUCCGGUGGUUCUGAAUGGAAGGGCCAUCGCUCAACGGAUAAAAGGUACUCCGGGGAUAACAGGCUGAUACCGCCCAAGAGUUCAUAUCGACGGCGGUGUUUGGCACCUCGAUGUCGGCUCAUCACAUCCUGGGGCUGAAGUAGGUCCCAAGGGUAUGGCUGUUCGCCAUUUAAAGUGGUACGCGAGCUGGGUUUAGAACGUCGUGAGACAGUUCGGUCCCUAUCUGCCGUGGGCGCUGGAGAACUGAGGGGGGCUGCUCCUAGUACGAGAGGACCGGAGUGGACGCAUCACUGGUGUUCGGGUUGUCAUGCCAAUGGCACUGCCCGGUAGCUAAAUGCGGAAGAGAUAAGUGCUGAAAGCAUCUAAGCACGAAACUUGCCCCGAGAUGAGUUCUCCCUGACCCUUUAAGGGUCCUGAAGGAACGUUGAAGACGACGACGUUGAUAGGCCGGGUGUGUAAGCGCAGCGAUGCGUUGAGCUAACCGGUACUAAUGAACCGUGAGGCUUAACCUU